AUGUUUCCCUUGGUCUCUCUGAGAAAAUUGGUUAGGGAACUGUCUGACCACAACCCUAUUUUGCUCUAUCUUGAUGGGGAAAAUAGGGUGCCUACUAAGGCCCAAGAAUUUCGAUUUGACCUAUCCUGGCUAAAGGAUGACAGAUUCCUCGGCCUAGUGGCUAAAAUCUGGAAUAGAAAGGUUGCUGCCUCGGAUCCCAUUGACAUCUUAAACAUCAAAUUGAAAAGAUUUAAAUCUUAUUUCAAGGGGUGGGGCUCGGAUAAAUUUGGGCAUGCCAAGAGACGGAAAGAAGACCUACGAAUUGAGCUUGAGCUGCUGGAAGAGGCAGAGGAGGAGGGCCCCCUCCCGCCCGAGCUAUACUGUAGAAAAACUGAUAUAUGUUUUGAGCUCCAUGAGCUGCUUAUCGCUGAAGAAAUCUACUGGCUUCAGCAAUCUCACGAACGCUGGCUGCUUCGAGGGGACCGCAAUACGGACUACUUUCAUAAGAUAGCCAAUGGUCGUAGAAGAAAAAAUGCAAUCCACGCUCUCAAAUGUGGAGAGGUGGAGAUUGAGGGCACUGAUAAUCUGUUGGCUCAUGCUACUAACUUCUAUAAGGAUCUCUUUGGCCCUGCACCAGGUAACUUGUUUCAUCUGGAUCCUGAGACUUGGGGAGAGGCUGAAAGACUC
rnacentral:rRNA from 1 species